rnacentral:piRNA from 1 species
AACAAAAAACAAAAACCUUGGACAUUUUUCUU